CGCAGACUGCAGGAUGUGUAUGGUAAGGAAAUUGGAUUGGGCCAUAACACCUUGAGUCCAACUGCUAAGACAUAAGAAACAAACCCUAAAAAAACACUAGUGGGGCACCGUUCCUCACCACACAUUGUCACUCUCUCUCUCACGAUCUGCAUCUAAACAGAACAGCAACAACAAAAAACAUAAUCUCUCUGUCUCUCUCGAUCACUCUAAUCUCUCACGGUGAACAAAAGACAAAGACAACUCUCACCUCUCUCGUGAAUCUCUCGGCUCGUUCAUCUCUCACGGUUUCGCAUCAACAAGAAUAAACACAAAUAACCUUCGAGUAAUAAUGAGUUCAAGCAACUAAGAUUCAAAUCAACGAUUCAAACAUUACAAGCCAUACAUCUUCACGAAAAAAGAUAAGAGUAAAUUAAAAAGUACCGACUCCGAAUGUUCUCGGAGGUGAAUAAUCCAAGGUAAACUUGAUUCCCUUUGCUCUGCUUCGACCCUCCUUCUUCUAAUUCUUGCUUCUUCUGUCGGUUAUUUUGCUGUGGCUGUUGUUGAGUGAAGGUUUGUGAGUUGUUGAGUGAGAGAUGAGAGUUGGUUCUGAGGGAUUUGCGGUGAGGAUAUGUGAUUGGGGUGUCGUGAGUUCUGUUCUGGGCAGAGCUGUGCGGGAACAAUGAUGGGUUGAGUUGCUUGUAGAUUGAAGGGUGUAUUGAAGGUUCUGAAUAGGGGAGAUUUGGUUGUGUCGAUGACUUUGUGGAGUUUAAGCUUGAUUUUGUAUUGUAAGUUAAUGAAGAUGUGUGAAGGUUUGAAGGUGAAGCUGUUUGUUGCGAGUUGAAGGGCUACCCAAAUAACAUUGGAGAUUAGGUGCAUAUAAAAAGGUAUGUGUGGUCUAUCUUUGAGCAAUUCUUGGACUGGUUUGGCAGGGAAAUUGGACCCUUAUGUGUGGCUUGUAGCAAGAAGGCAUUUGGACAGCAAGAUGUAGCAGCAAAGGAUGCAGGUUUUUGGACAGUAGUUUGGAGGGUAGUGUUUGGCAUGGGAUAGCAGAGAUGUGAAGACAAACUUUGCUAUUAUUUUUUUCUGUCAUGUUUUUGACUUGUUUGGUGUAAUAACAAAAAUAAAUAGUAAAUGGCUUUAACCAAAA